rnacentral:rRNA from 1 species
AUUGAACGCUGGCGGCAUGCUUUACACAUGCAAGUCGAACGGUAACAGGGUGCUUGCACCGCUGACGAGUGGCGAACGGGUGAGUAAUGCGUCGGAACGUGCCGAGUAGUGGGGGAUAACGCAGCGGAAGUUGUGCUAAUACCGCAUACGUACUGAGGUAGAAAGUGGGGGACCUUCGGGCCUCACGCUAUUCGAGCGGCCGACGUCUGAUUAGCUAGUAGGUGAGGUAAAGGCUCACCUAGGCGACGAUCAGUAGCGGGUCCGAGAGGAUGAUCCGCCACACUGGGAAUGAGACACGGCCCAGACUCCUACGGGAGUCAGCAGUGGGGAAUUUUGGACAAUGGGCGAAAGCCUGAUCCAGCCAUGCCGCGUGUCUGAAGAAGGCCUUCGGGUUGUAAAGGACUUUUGUCAGGGAGGAAAUCCCUAGUGCUAAUAACACUGGGGGAUGACAGUACCUGAAGAAUAAGCACCGGCUAACUACGUGCCAGCAGCCGCGGUAA